rnacentral:rRNA from 1 species
UGCCAGCAGCCGCGGUAAUACGGAGGGGGCUAGCGUUGUUCGGAUUUACUGGGCGUAAAGCGCACGUAGGCGGCGUAUCUAGUUGGGGGUGAAAGGCCCGGGCUCAACCCGGGAACUGCCUUCAAUACUGAUAUGCUAGAGUCCGGGAGAGGGUAGUGGAAUUCCAAGUGUAGAGGUGAAAUUCGUAGAUAUUUGGAAGAACACCAGUGGCGAAGGCGGCUACCUGGCCCGGUACUGACGCUGAGGUGCGAAAGCGUGGGGAGCGAACAGGAUUAGAUA